rnacentral:rRNA from 1 species
GACGAACGCUGGCGGCGUGCUUAACACAUGCAAGUCGAACGGAAAGGCCUGCUUUCCCUUGUGGAUUGCGGGUACUCGAGUGGCGAACGGGUGAGUAACACGUGAGUGAUCUGCCCCCAACUUGGGUAUAAGCCUGGGAAACUGGGUCUAAUUCCCGAUAGGACUGCAGGGUGGUGCCUGUGGUGGAAAACGGUUUUCUAGUGGUUGGGGAUGAGCUCGCGGCCUAUCAGCUUGUUGGUGGGGUAAUGGCCUACCAAGGCGGCGACGGGUAGCCGGCCUGAGAGGGGGGACGGCCACAUUGGGACUGAGAUACGGCCCAGACUCCUACGGGAGGCAGCAGUGGGGAAUAUUGCACAAUGGGCGGAAGCCUGAUGCAGCGACGCCGCGUGGGGGAUGACGGCCUUCGGGUUGUAAACUCCUUUCGACCGCGAGGAAGCCACCUGGUUGGAAGGGUGGUGACGGUAGUGGUAGAAGAAGCACCGGCUAACUACGUG